UGUCCCUGCUCUCCAUUCGUUGCUUGGCUCCAGCUCAGCAUGUAGCAGCUGGAAACAACCAUUAUUGGGAAAUUCUGUCUCCAUCGUGUAAUCCUGGGCUGCAGCAUGUGUAGUGGCUUUGUACAGAGGGUGCAUGCCCAAGCUAGGAGCUGAGAGGGGCUGAGAGCCUUAUUUGAAUGGUGGGAAUGAUGCACAAACAACGGGACUGUAACCGUGAGAGACAUAAGCUUGCUCUGGGACAAUCUUAACCCUUAAGCAGUAGCAAGUGUCUCCAUAAACUGAGAUUUAAAAUACCCUAAAAUUUGGCCAAAUUAGAGUAGAUUUUCUUUAGUGCAGUGCAAAGCAUCCAACGAAGGCCUCCCUCGCUCAAUUUCAAAGCAAACUUUCUCUAUAAAAGGUUUGAUUUUUUCCUAUUAAAAAACAAUGUACGCUUCAUAUAUUUAAUUUCUGAAAUGACUAAACACUUUGGUUGAUAUUUUAUCUGGGCAAGAAAUGAUGCAGACAAUCAGUACAGACUUUUCCAGUCUGAAUCAGUGUAGCCUGACACAAACAACUGAAAGCUGGGUCUUGCAUCGGAAAUGUCAAACCCUGUGUAACAGGCUGUAUGGGCUCUUUAAAAACUCGGCAGAGCUGCUCACUCUACCUUGUGCAUGUGUUGGGAAUCAGCCCUUCAGCUGAUUCCCAGCAAGCAGAUUUAAAUAGGUUUCCAGCUUAGGGAGAGAAAUGGAUGUUUGUCUCUUAGGGCAGCUGUUCCUUCCUCCCGCCCCUCCCUUACAUGUGCACAUACAUGCACAAAAAAAGAGCAAAUGGGGAUAAAGGUAUUCUCCAGUCGGAAAAGUCCAUUCCUCUAUGGACAGAGGAGACAGAGACAGAACAGCACUUUUGAUAGACCUGAACGGUAGUAGAGUUUAAGUGAGUUGAAAAUAAAAGACUGAUAAUGAGAUUUUGCACUAGAUUGGCUGGCUUGUGCUGGCAGGCAGCAAGCACAGCCAGCCUGCUUACAAUUCACCCUAGAUGAGCUAACCGAAAAUAGAAACCGAAGAACCACAGUGCGUUAUCCAAUCUAGAGAGGUAAAAAUGUUGACUUGGAAAGGCCACCACUCACAGACAAAAAUGACAGAACUGAGCCACAGCCACUUGCCUUUCUCCCAGUCAUGUUAAGAAGGCACUAAUCCUGCAGUCACAGGAAGAGGAGAGCUCCUACUUCAGCCCUCUCCAAAGCUGGCACGAGAGGAGUGUGAGGAAGGAGCAGCAGUAUGGCAUUCACCAACUCGGGUCAGAUUUGCGGUCCCUAUUUCUGCUGAUCCUGAACAGCUCAUAGUCCCAUUGGGUCUAAAUCACCUUUCACAGGUAGGAGCUUGUGCCUGAGCACAGGGGAGGAGUUCUGGGAAGUCUGAGAAGCGACGACUGCUCCACCUGGGAAGGAAGAACAGGUUUGCCAGUGGAUUUAUGCAGAAGACACCCAUGAUCCACUUCUUCCUGGAUGUGAGCUUUGCUGCAGCCUGAGCUCCAAGCAUCUCUGCUCAUACUGAGGAAGAGGAAUGCUUCAGCUGCUGAUGGAUCACAAAAGGAAGGAUCACAUCCCGGGCCUUUGAAGAUAUGGAUAAGGAGGAAGUAAUUGUUAAUGAUUUGCUGAUUUAAACAAAAAAUGAUUGACAACAUAAUGAAAUCAUGUAAUCCUGUAGUGUGUCAAAACUCCAUAAUUUUCAAUUGAACAGGAACAAAUGUCAGAGAAGGUUGAAUGAGAUUAGUUGCAUUAUACGCUACACAACUAUACGAGUCUAGUAAUAAAAGACCUGCCCCAAGAAAUGACAGGAAAUUGUAAGAAACUAAUAGUCUUCUGGAACUGUUUAUGUAUCUCAAUGAAAUUUUGUCACAAUUAAACACUUCACUCGAAAUGCUACUAGAGUACAAUGCAGGAAAGUCCCACUACGUACAGGAGAAUUAAAGCUGUUGAAAACCACCUGUAAUGACAUACUUUGAGAUUAGCCAAGAACUAGUAUCAGUACAGCCUGGUGUAGGCUAGGGCUGCACUUCUGCGAGGUGGCUGUCCAGUGCACUAAAUGUUGGUCUUUCUGGACAGUAGACAGCACUGCUGUUGCAAACACACGUAUUUGUAACACCAGUGUAUUCCUUCACUUGGAAAGGACCGGAAGAACCCUUGGUGUAUUUUAUUAUAUGAAGAAUAAACCCAUUAAGAACAGA